rnacentral:rRNA from 1 species
UGAGGAAUAUUGGUCAAUGGGCGAGAGCCUGAACCAGCCAAGUAGCGUGCAGGAUGACGGCCCUAUGGGUUGUAAACUGCUUUUGUAUGGGGAUAAAGUCAGUCACGUGUGAUUGUUUGCAGGUACCAUACGAAUAAGGACCGGCUAAUUCCGUGCCAGCAGCCGCGGUAAUACGGAAGGUCCGGGCGUUAUCCGGAUUUAUUGGGUUUAAAGGGAGCGUAGGCUGGAGAUUAAGUGUGUUGUGAAAUGUAGACGCUCAACGUCUGACUUGCAGCGCAUACUGGUUUCCUUGAGUACGCACAACGUUGGCGGAAUUCGUCGUGUAGCGGUGAAAUGCUUAGAUAUGACGAAGAACUCCGAUUGCGAAGGCAGCUGACGGGAGCGCAACUGACGCUGAAGCUCGAAGGUGCGGGUAUCGAACAGGAUUAGAUACCCUGGUAGUCCGCACAGUAAACGAUGGAUGCCCGCUGUUGGUACCUGGUAUCANCGGCUAANCGAAAGCAUUAANCAUCCCACCUGGGGGAGUACGCCGGCANCGGU